GUAGGUGAACCUGCGGAAGGAUCAUUACCACGUAUCCACGUCUAUCAACAUGUCGGCCCUCUGUGUUAUCCCCACUAAACUAACCUCAUUCCACUAGUUGUCUAUUGUCUGUGCGCGAUUGUCUUGCGCUGUGCCGAAAGCCGCAGUGGCCGGGUCGUCCCACACGUUUACUUACCUGAACGUUAAACAUACAACUCUUAGCAAUGGAUAUCUUGGUUCUC
rnacentral:misc_RNA from 1 species